rnacentral:rRNA from 1 species
UACGUAGGGUGCAAGCGUUGUCCGGAAUUAUUGGGCGUAAAGAGCUCGUAGGCGGUUUGUCGCGUCUGCUGUGAAAACCCGAGGCUCAACCUCGGGCCUGCAGUGGGUACGGGCAGACUAGAGUGCGGUAGGGGAGAUUGGAAUCCUGGUGUAGCGGUGGAAUGCGCAGAUAUCGAGGAGACACCAAUGGCGAAGGCAGAUCUCUGGGCCGUAACUGACGCUGAGGAGCGAAAGCAUGGGGAGCGAACAGG